rnacentral:tRNA from 1 species
GGAAGUGUAGCUCAGUGGUAUAGCAGUUGCCUAACAUGCACUAGACCUUGGGUUCGAUCCCAGCACUGUGG